rnacentral:rRNA from 1 species
UAGGGAAUUUUCCGCAAUGGACGCAAGUCUGACGGAGCAACGCCGCGUGAGUGAAGAAGGAUUUCGGUUCGUAAAACUCUGUUGUUAGAGAAGAACAGCGCAUAGAGUAACUGUUAUGCGUGUGACGGUAUCUAACCAGAAAGCCACGGCUACCUACGUGCCAGCAGCCGCGGUAAUACGUAGGUGGCAAGCGUUGUCCGGAUUUAUUGGGCGUAAAGCGCGCGCAGGCGGUCAAUUAAGUCUGAUGUGAAAGCCCCCGGCUCAACCGGGGAGGGUCGUUGGAAACUGUUUGACUGGCGUGCAGAAGAGGUGAGUGAAAGUCCAUGUGUAGCGGUGAAAUGCGUAGAUAUAUGGAGGAACACCAGUGGCGAAGGCGACUCUCUGGUCUGUAACUGACGCUGAGGCUCGAAAGCGUGGGUAGCAAACAGG